UAUCCGGUAGUCGCAGUCGCAGUCCAAGGAUGUUGGGAGCACCUAGAUAAGGUAACGAUGGCGAUAUAAUCAACGGAUCGACGCGUCGUUUUUUUUGACUUUGACAAUGAGUACGCUAGCAAGUCCGAGAGCAGAUGGGUACACGACGAACCGACAUGGAAACGGUCUUUUGCAGUUGCAGUGCACGUCUCUAAAACCAGCGGUUGCUGGAGAGUUUUACGCAAAGGCAGCCCUGACCUCCACCGGUCCCAACAGCAAACUGCAUUUGCAAAGGUCGUUGCUUUCAGGCGAGAUUAACCGUGCCUGCCUGCCAUGGAUCCUCCACCGCCGCCGCCUCCGCCUCCGCCUCCGCCUCCGCCGCCUCCUCACAGCGAUGCCGUUCCUGGUGUUGAUGGAACCCUCACUUUCAUGUGGGGCGGAGCCAAGUCCUGACAACACGGACGGCUCGAGCAUGUGACGAGGCGACAUCGGAGCAGGCUGUCAAGGAGCGCGCUGAUGUGUUUCUACAUGUUGGUGCUUCAGCCUCCAAGCUCCUGUUAGGAUAGUUUAUUCGUGAUGUAUAUAUUCCUGUUCUAUAAAGAUUGUUCUUGCAUAUUUACCAUGUAAAAAAUGUAAAUAUAUUCAUGUAAAAAGAUGUACAUAUAUACAAGUUUUAUCAUGAUUGGCGAUUUUAGGAACCGUCCAAUCAGUUUAAUCCAACGGUAGAAAAAUUAGUAGUACCGGAAAGUACACAGAAAUAAGUACUGGAAAGUACUGAGAAGUACUCAUUUAUUUUAUUUUUUAAAGGGCAAAUAUGUCAUUUUACGUCCAUUGACCCAACUUGUCUGGACUCUGGAUGAUCUCUCUAACUGUCUCCUUUCUCUCCCCGCGCCUGUCCCCUGUCCCCAAUCCCUCCCCCACCUCGCCGCCGGCGUGAUCUCCGACUGAGCGAGGACGCCGCGGACGAUCGCCCGAGCCGAGAGUGGCGGCGGGGCCAACAGGAGGUUGCGCAGCCCCGCCUACUUUCCCUCCACCACGUCGCCCUGGACGUGAGCUCGCCAAUCCAUCCACCACCUGGCCGCCGGCGUCAGCUCCGAGUUGGGGUCUGCUUGUAGCUGGGGACGCCUUCAUUUUCCUCAGGAUCAGCUCAUUGCAGAUUCAUGGUGGGAGGCCACUGAUAUGGGCGAGUGGAACAUGGAGGAAGAUGGGUCACCAGCAUGGACAGAGCAACCUCAACUGAACACCCAUGAGAAGACAUUGACUUUUAGCAACACGGAUAUAGUCAUUCAGUAUGUAGAAAGAAACUUAAUAACCAGGAUGAUUCUGAAUGGUUAUUUAGUAGGCUCUGAGAUGAGGCCCUUCCUGACAUUUUUAUCUAUCUUUCAUAUUUGCCCUUUUUGUCUUGUGAAUUCGGUCAGGUCGGGAUGAAGGCCCUUACUGACAUAUUUAUCUAUCUUUCAUAUCAUGGGAUUAUUUUCCAUCACUUUCUCAUAUAUAUAUGGAUUGGCUGAAGAGCUUUUCCAAGGUUUCCUCUU